AUGGAAAGUGGUGAACAACAGGAUGGGGCUGGGGGACAAGAAAUAGUCGUGUAGAUAGUCAAAGAUAACUCUAGCUGGCCAUGAAGGAUGGAAAAAUGAGACACCCAAGGCAACCUGCCCUUAAUGACAAUGGUCCUGGACUACAAGGAGGAGCCCAAGAUUAAAUUUCUAGCAGGAACUUGC